UGGGGAAUAUUGGACAAUGGGCGCAAGCCUGAUCCAGCAAUGCCGCGUGAGUGAUGAAGGCCUUAGGGUUGUAAAGCUCUUUUACCCGGGAUGAUAAUGACAGUACCGGGAGAAUAAGCUCCGGCUAACUCCGUGCCAGCAGCCGCGGUAAUACGGAGGGAGCUAGCGUUAUUCGGAAUUACUGGGCGUAAAGCGCGCGUAGGCGGUUUUUCAAGUCAGAGGUGAAAGCCCGGGGCUCAACCCCGGAAUAGCCUUUGAAACUGGAGAACUUGAAUCUUGGAGAGGUCAGUGGAAUUCCGAGUGUAGAGGUGAAAUUCGUAGAUAUUCGGAAGAACACCAGUGGCGAAGGCGACUGACUGGACAAGUAUUGACGCUGAGGUGCGAAAGCGUGGGGAGCAAACAGG
rnacentral:rRNA from 2 species